UACAGGGGGCGCAAGCGUUGCUCGGAAUCACUGGGCGUAAAGCGUACGCAGGCGGACCGAUAAGUCGGAUGUGAAAUCCCGAGGCUCAACCUCGGAACUGCAUUCGAAACUGCUGGUCUUGAGUACGGGAGAGGUGAGCGGAAUUCCUGGUGUAGAGGUGAAAUUCGUAGAUAUCAGGAGGAACACCGGUGGCGAAAGCGGCUCACUGGCCCGAUACUGACGCUCAUGUACGAAAGCGCGGGGAGCAAAC
rnacentral:rRNA from 1 species